UGGACAGUGUUCCUAAUAGUCUGU
rnacentral:miRNA from 1 species